rnacentral:miRNA from 1 species
CUCGUAGACCUUUUCCUGUUCAG